rnacentral:snoRNA from 1 species
UGGUUUUACCUCAAUAAUUACAGCAGGAUUCCCAGGAGGUUUUUGUCUUUGCUAACUUGCUAGCAUAUAACCGAUUGGGGACAUUG